rnacentral:lncRNA from 1 species
GCAGAACCUGGAGGGGCGAGUCGGGACCGUACUGUGGACUCUAGAGUGUCUAUAGGCGUUAUGGGUGUGAUAGGUAUACAGCUGGUUGUUACCAUGGUGAUGGCCAGUGUCAUGCAGAAGAUUAUACCUCACUAUUCUCUUGCUCGAUGGCUACUCUGUAAUGGCAGCUUGAGAUGGUAUCAACACCCUUCCGAAGAAGAAUUAAGAAUCCUUGCAGGGAAGCAGCAGAAAGGAAAAAGUAAAAAAGACAGUUCUGUUGACUACAAUGCCCUCUUCUGGUCUUCAAAGAGCACUCACUGCAUGCAUGUGCUGCACAGAUUCUGGCACAAAAACUCAUACAUACAAAAAUAAUAAAAAAUAAUUUUUAAAAAUGUC